ACACGUGGGCAACCUACCUUAUAGUUUGGGAUAACUCCGGGAAACCGGGGCUAAUACCGAAUAAUCUAUUUCACUUCAUGGUGAAAUACUGAAAAACGGUUUCGGCUGUCGCUAUAAAAUGGGCCCGCGGCGCAUUACCUAGUUGGUGAGGUAACGGCUCACCAAGGCAACAAUGCGUACCCAACCUGAAAGGGUGAUCGGCCACACUGGGACUGAAACACGGCCCAAACUCCUACGGGAGGCACCAUUAGGGAAUCUUCCACAAUGGGCAAAAGCCUGAUGGAGCACCGCCCCGUGAGUGAAAAAGGUUUUCGGAUCGUAAAACUCUGUUGUAAGGGAAAAACAAGUACAGUAUUAACUGGUUGUACCUUGACGGUACCUUAUUAAAAAGCCACGGCUAACUACUUGCCACCACCCGCGGUAAUACUUAGGUGGCAAGCGUUGUCCGGAAUUAUUGGGCGUAAAGCGCGCGCAGGCGGUCCUUUAAUUCUGAUGUGAAAGCCCACGGCUCACCCGUGGAGGGUCAUUGGAAACUGGGGGACUUGAGUGCAAAAGAGGAAAGUGGAAUUCCAAGUGUAGCGUUGAAAUGCGUAGAGAUUUGGAGGAACACCAUUGGCGAAGGCGACUUUCUGGUCUGUAACUGACGCUGAGGCGCGAAAGCGUGGGGAGCAAACAGGAUUAGAUACCCUGGUAGUCCACGCCGUAAACGAUGGAGUGCUAAUUGUUAGGGGGUUUCCGCCCCUUAGUGCUGCAGCUAACGCAUUAAGCACUCGGCCUGGGGGAGUACGGUCGCAGGACUGAACUCAAAGGAAUAGACGGGGGCCCGCACAAGCGUGAGCAUGUAGUUUAAU
rnacentral:rRNA from 1 species